UAACAAGGUUUCCGUAGGUGAACCUGCGGAAGGAUCAUUGUCGAAACCUGCCUAGCAGAAUGACUCGGGAACUUGUUCAUAAAACGGGGGGUCCGAAGCUGGUUAUGCUAGCCUUGGCUCUUCACAAGGCCUCGAUUGGGGUAUUUAGGUUGUGGAAGCUWAUUCUUCCACCCUAAGUGCUUUGUUUGUGGCCUGUUAACAAAACCCCGGCGCGGAAAGCGCCAAGGAAGUGAAAACAAAAAGAUCGGUCACCCUGAUUGCCCUGGAAACGGUGUGCAAAAGGGAUGCGCUGCACUUUGAGAAUCUWAAUGACUCUCGGCAACGGAUAUCUCGGCUCUCGCAUCGAUGAAGAACGCAGCGAAAUGCGAUACUUGGUGUGAAUUGCAGGAUCCCGUGAACCAUCGAGUUUUUGAACGCAAGUUGCGCCCGAAGCCUUUUGGCCGAGGGCACGCCUGCCUGGGUGUCACUCAAUCGUCGCCCUAACAUCUUCCUAUUGGAAGGGGGCGGAAGUUGGCCUCCCGCGUGCUCUUUGCAAACGGUUGGCCUAAACAUCCGGUCUUUGGCAAUGAUGCCACGGCAAUCGGUGGUUGUAUGACCCUCGUUAAUUGCUGUGAGUGAUCAAAUGCCGGUGAGACUUUUGAUGCCYCGAAGCGUUUCUUAUGAUACGCUUCCAAUGCGACCCC
rnacentral:rRNA from 1 species